AUUGAACGCUGGCGGCAUGCCUUACACAUGCAAGUCGAACGGCAGCGGGGGAGAAGCUUGCUUUUCCUGCCGGCGAGUGGCGAACGGGUGAGUAAUACAUCGGAACGUGCCCUGUAGUGGGGGAUAACUAGUCGAAAGAUUAGCUAAUACCGCAUACGACCUGAGGGUGAAAGUGGGGGACCGCAAGGCCUCAUGCUAUAGGAGCGGCCGAUGUCUGAUUAGCUAGUUGGGGGGGUAAAGGCCUACCAAGGCGACGAUCAGUAGCUGGUCUGAGAGGACGAUCAGCCACACUGGGACUGAGACACGGCCCAGACUCCUACGGGAGGCAGCAGUGGGGAAUUUUGGACAAUGGGCGAAAGCCUGAUCCAGCAAUGCCGCGUGUGUGAAGAAGGCCUUCGGGUUGUAAAGCGCUUUUGUCCGGAAAGAAAUGGCUCUGGUUAAUACCUGGGGUCGAUGACGGUACCGGAAGAAUAAGGACCGGCUAACUACGUGCCAGCAGCCGCCGCCG
rnacentral:rRNA from 1 species